UGGGUUCAUUAGCUGCCUUCAGUCUCGCGCAUUGAAAGCUGGAAGGAAUGUGUGGUGAUUAAUAAGCACUCGGGCUCCCAAGGGAGCAGUCCUGUGGGUGAGAGGAGGCAGUGAGGUCCUGUUAAGGUGCAGCAGAUCUGGCUCCCUCUGAAAUUAAUCCAGCCCGCGGGACAAGCACCGUUUCUGCCCGAGUUGUAAAAGGACAACGCCAUUUUAAAAAUCAUCCCCAUCGAAAAGUCCUAAAAUGGCAGGAUGUCCCCUUCACCCUGUCUCUGUGUCGCUUUGACUCCGAUUUGAGACGGGCGCUGUCAGCGCCGGUGGUGGACGGUCACGUGCAAGGUCCGAGGGGAGGUGUCCUGCAGUAUAAAAUAACGCUGGCAUUCUGCAGGCUCCGUGUGAAACCCAGAAGAGCCAUCAUGGAUCCUUGGGGAGUCAGAGGACAGAGUUCCACUGGAUGAGGGAGGCUCCGUUCUUCCAGCAUGGCUCUCCUCUCGCCACCUGUCAGAUGGCUCCCAAGAGCCCUCCUUCUCCUCAUCCUGAUGGCAUGAUCACUUGCCCCAGCCCCCAGCUCCAGAGACACCUCCUGUUUCCUCUCUGACUCAAUCCCUUCAAGUUCUCUUUGUGAAAUCUCCCUAGUCUCGAGCCUGUACCCACCCCUCCCCCUCGCUGAUCACCUAUAGACAUUUGAUGUGGGUCCUUGCCUGCUGCUUCAGGUCUGCAUCUUGUCCUCCAAAGCACACAGUAGGUCUGGGAGUAUGGGGACCCUGUAGAGAGAGGGGCAGGAGGAGAUGCCUGCCGGCUGGCAAAUAAACCCCAGGACAAGUUUCCAGCUCAUUGGCACCUUACCUGCUUUGUCUGUAAGAUGGGAAUAAUAUUCCCUGUCCUCCUUCACAAAGAAUUUUUUGGAGGAUCAAAGUGGACAGUAGAAAACAGGAUUUGGAGGGCUUAAUAAGUGACCAGGAAGUAGGUGGAACUGAGGUGCCCCUUCCGGGCCUUGAUCUCUGAACCCUCAGUGAUGGAUCGAUUACGUGUCAUGACAGUAGUUCCGGUGAUGUUUCCCUAAAGCUAUUUCUCUGAUAAACAUACAAACAGGAAAACUUGGCCAUCGGUCUGUCUGGAACCUAGCAUGAGUAGUUAAAAUAGAAGGGAAGACUCAGGGUGGUGGCAGUUACAGAAGCUGUUUUCAAACAUGUCAGGGGCUGUCUGGUGGUAGAUGCUGGCUUAAUGGAGUUGGAAGGUGGGAGGAGUCUGUAGACACCCAGAAGCGGGCAGAGAUCUCAGGGAGGAAGAAGUUUCUAAGUAGAGCUGUCCCAUGGGUCCUGGGCUGUGGGUGCCAGAGGACCCCUCAGAAAUGCUUGUGAAGGGGUUGCUUAUUCCCCAGACAGAUGUGAAAAUGAGGGCAGCUUCUCUGGAGUACAGGAGCAGCUCAGACCGUGGUUCUCUUUGUGCUACUCAGACCUUAGACUGGAUAACUGUCCCAGAGGCUAAGGCAGGAUGCAGAGGCCCACACUGACUGCUUUGGUGCUGAGCCCUUCUCCGCCACUCUGUUAGUGGAACUGAGUCUAAGAGAAGAUGUACCAUCUGCCCCAGGUGUACGGCAGAGCCAGAGUUCAAACUUGGUCUCUCUGACUCAGAGCAGGUGCUGGUGUGGCUUCUGGCCACCACCAGGAAAGUGAAUGUGAAAGUUGCUCCAUCGUGUCCAACUCUUUGCAACCCCAUAGCCUAUUCAGUCCGUGGAAUUCUCUAGGCCAGAUUACUGGAAUGGGUAGCCUUUCCCUUCUCCAGGGGAUCUUCCUAACCCAGGUCUCCCACAUUGCAGGCGGAUUCUUUACCAGCUGAGCCAUGAGUGGCGUGCUAAUUCUCUCUUCUCCUUCAGUCCUUGGCUCUCCUUCCUCUUGUGAAGCCUACCUCUUACAAGUGCUGCUUCUCAGCUCCCUCUCUUAGCUCCUUGCUGCCCGGGGCUCUGCGCUAUGGCCUCUCUACUUAGCUUGGAUCCUGAGCUGGCUCAUCCCAGGGUGUCUCUCCUGAGAACCCUGGACCCCUUGCUCCCCUGUCAGCCCAUGCCUGUCCUUCAGCCCUGCAGCCCUGUCUUGCGGUGCGGAGCUCUUUGGGGAUGUUGGCACACUCAUGGCCCGUGCCUAUCAGGUGGCUGAUCCUCUGGGUCCCUAGCCCUCCUGCCCUCUGUUCUCAGCUCCCUUCCUUAUUCCCAGAGUGCCCAUUCAAACAGUCGCUGUUCUUUUCAUUGCCCCCAUACCCAGCUCUACCCUCCCUGCCCAGGGCAGAAGGAUGACCCUUCAUGAACACUUUAUCCCCUCCUGGCUCUGCUGCUCUGGCUCAUGUCGUCUGGUUUCCUUCAUGACUGAACGCCUCCCUGUUGCCAGCAGACAUCUUCCAGGUCUGAUCUCAUGGCUCUGCCUAAAGAUUGAGGAAAUAUCUUAUAUAAAAACAGUUGUUCUUGAAAGGGUGACCCCUGGACCAGUACCAUCAUUAUCACCUAGAUCUUCUAUUUGAGCAAGCCCUUCAGAUCUCCUCUUGAAGUAACUGGCCACUUUGACUUUGAACCCAGCAACUCUCCAAUGAAAUGGCUGGCAAAGGCGGAGGCCCAGAAGGUGGGCAGCUUGCUCAGGGUAGGGCAGCGAAAGCCCAGGGGUCCCACCUCCCCGCAUGCCCUGCGUCUGCACAAUUGCCCAGCAAAACCCCAGACAGCUCAGGUUUUUUAAAAGUAGAGUGGAAAUAAGCUCAAGUUUCUGGAUGUAAGGGACACUCUGACCCCUGCCCAAGUUUUCAGGCAUCCUAGGUUUUGAAUAAAACAGAGAAGCUGCCCUCUACUCAAGGACAACCCUUCAAAACCAGCAGAGAGAUCUGGGCGCUCCAGCCAGCUUGCUCUCUGUCAGUCAGGGUCCCUUUAAGAUGCAAGAACUUGGAGGUAGGGAGGUCAAAUGCAGGCCAGUGGAAGUUUCCACACUCCGUGUGUCCCAGCCAGCUUCUCUGUCUAUCUCUGCUGGGAAGGGUGGGCCCUGUUCCCACAGGCCUGAGAUUUAUGACUUCAGUCUGGGAGGGGGCGUUGGUCUUUAUUUCUUGGCGUGAACAAUGGUAAACAGAGUUAUGAAGAAAGUUUGGAACUGGUAUCCUUCAGCCUGUGUCAGGCUAAUUCUCUGGUUCUUUCUCUCCUUGUGAGUUGUGUGCACACACACAUGGUGUGCACAUAUGCCAGCUGUAAAGUGAGAUAGAGCAAUAGUGUAGUUGGCCUCUAGAUCUUGUCAAAUAUGCACCCCAAGCUAAUCACCAGACUUCCAUCGACCACUAAAGGCUGCAACUUUAGUGUCACUUGAAAAUGCCUUGGAAGUACACACACACACACACAUUCUGAAAACCUUUCACCUUGCUCCUUUGCCCUCUCCAGCACCUCUCAUAAGCCUGACCUGUGCAAAGCUGGAGGUAUUCUCAGCCUGCCUAGUCCUGCAGUUAUCUGAUGAUGGAGAUACAAUUUCCUGUCCCUGAGAUUUUUCCUUUAAUACACUGAAAUAUUAUGAUGCAAAAGCUACAAGUAUUGAAGGUUCAUGUGGGGAUUAAACAAGAGUAAGAAGUCAGUACCUGACUGGCUAGAGCCUUAAUUGUUGGGGCAGGGACAGUCACGGGAAGGACCUCUGGCCAAGUCAGGGAGGCAGUGAUGUGGACCUGUGUUGUGUGUGCGAGAAAGAUGACAGCAGAGAGAAGGCUGCCAUCAGAUUUCUAUUUAGACAGGUUUUAUAUAGUCUCAGGUUUUACAAGAUUUGGUCAAGGUUCUGAGCUUACAAGAGCACUAUCCCACUCUUAUCCAUUAUAGGUAGUAGAUCAUAGUGGUGAAGACACAGGCUCUGAAAGCAGACUCUCUGAAUUGCAGUCCUGGCCCUGCCACUUCUACCUGUGUGGCUUAGGCAAAUGUCUUCAUUCUCUAAGCCUCAGUUUCCUUGCCUAUGAAACGGGCAUGAUGAGAAAAUUGUCAUUAUAGAACUGAGACAGCUGAAUGCCUAGCACAGGGCUGGCAAUCUGAAGUUACUAUUAGUUCCUGAUUUUCAACCUGAACUGAUAUUGGAGUUAUUCCACAUUCUCAUUUCCUCACCUGAAAGCAUACAUAAACCACCUAGAGUUCUUCCUUCUGAGACAGAAAUGACCCCUGUCUCCUUUGUUUCCUUAAGGAAGCAGUGUGCAAGCACCACUACUCUGCCCCUGAAGCAAGAGGCACAUCCCCCUGCACUGACCUCCCCACCUGCACCCAGCGUCUGUAGAGUAAGAGGGCAGAGCGGCCGUGACCCGCACGAGAAGGCAGGAGGUCAGCAGACUCGCCUGCAUCUUUCUGUGGGGGGAUGGCUGCUCUCCGUGGAGAAGCAGGUCAGGGUACACUGGUCCAGCCCUGGAGAGGAGCCAGGCUGGUGUGUGGUGUGGAGGAAAGCAUCUUGGACGUGGUUUUUAAAGGCCUGAAGUGGCUCUGUGUCCUACCUCUGACCAACUGCGGAGGCAGGGCCUGGCUGUCUCAGGGCCUCAGGGCCCCCUCAUGUGACAGACGGAGGUCCACCAUCACGCCAGGCCGAUCUCCCUGCAGACUUCAUGCUUGUCCCUUACCACCCUCCUUGCACAUGCUCUAAAUGGGCACAUGAUGUGAGCCCAAGCAUACAAGAUCACAGAGGCACAUGGUACACACACACACACACACACACACACACCCCCCUACACUCCUCUUCAGCGUCUGACUCAUACUCAGGUUAAGUUUCACCUCCUGCCUUCCUGGGCUCCCGCCACACCCACACCCUGACCACUUGCUGGUCUGCAUCUCAGUGACAGCUCUGCAUAAAGUCCCUUAAGUUUCCUUGUCCUGUCUGGGUUGUGUGAAGUCCUGUGCUGUUUUUACAUCUCCAGAUGCAUAGUUAAUUCAAGGUCCUCUCCCCAGAUCUGCCAUAGUGGGCAGAAGUAAAUUUCUGUGGGGCUAAUAACACUUAAACCUCUGGCCCUCCAUCAGCACAGUGUGUUCACACGGUCAUACAUUUUCAUAAAGUUGACUGUAAUCUGUUAAUACCACUGUUUCUUUCCCCUCUGAUUUGCCCGUCAUACGGUACUAUCCUCAUUUUGGAGGCAUCAGAGUGGCCCCUUUGGACACUAGCUAAGGGACAGCUGAAUUGGGGGUGUGUUGGUUUGGGUUUACUGGGACAUAUUUACAUGGUGUUUAGUCGAUUUUCUUGUAAAUCACAUGUUGCUAGCUGUCACCGUCGGGAGAAGGCUUCUAGGAACACCCUGCUGGUCUGUGCAGCAGACUCUGUGUGGGGCCACAAAGGGGCACCUGAGUGAGUGUGCCCUCGGGUGCCGGGUCCUAGAAAUGCACGCGGAAUGGGUCAGUGUGAUUCGUGCAAAGCCCGAAGCUGGUGGAUGGGGGUCCUCCAGUCGUCAGGUCUUGGAGCAGAGGAUUCUCUUCCCAUCACCGCCUCCUCAGAAUGAAAGCUCUCUUUUGUCAGGAUUAUAUUCAAUCAUGCAAAGUAAUACAAUCAUAAAUGCACUACUCAUUUUGUUUCUUUUUGAUGGGAAUUACUGACAUGGAAUUUAUCAGACUCCUCGUGUUUAAAUGCCUUGCUGAUUUGACAGGAAAUACUGACAUUGACGGAGAUAACAUAAAACUCAUUAUGCGCCACUACAAUGAGGACAUCGAUGACAAUCUGGUUACUAAGUUUCAUAAAUUCACAGAAUAUUUUAGAUUUGUUGCUAAAAAAGAGAAGUUGAAAUGCCCUGAAAUCUCGUAGCUCAUGUAUGAAAGACACUUGACAGCGGUUUUCCCAAAGUUGAUAACCAUUCUGGAGAUUCACACGGCAUUACCAGUGACAAAUUGUGAGACGGAAAGAAACCUUUUUAAACUGUGAAUAAUAAAAUGCAAAAUCGGAUCAACUCGUUAGAGGAGAGAUUGAAUUACCUUUGUAUUCCUCUAUAAAAAUGAGAUGGAAAAAUGAUGCUCAUUUAAAGAGACGAUCAAAGAGUUUGUCGCUAAAAAAAAUGUAGCAAGAAACGUAUUACAGAUGAGGGUCGGCUCUUUUAGAUUCUGUGAUGCCUGUAGAAUUUGUCAGCUUUUACAAGUUUUUAAUUUGUUGUGAUGGCCCUUCUCCUUAUAAAUAUAAUUUCACUUUCAAGCAGAAUUUGUAUUUGGAAUUUUGAAUUCUUUUUCCUCAAGCUGUUCCCCAAAUUGUAAACGCUGCUGGCCCCACCUCGCUGGGUCUGUCCUGCGUACCCCUAGGCCCUGGCUAGGAGCUGCCUCUGGCAGCUGUUCCCAGGCCGGUGGCUGCCAGCAGGGGGUCUGGACGUGAGACAGAGUCUGGGUGGCUCUGACCAGGGCACCCACUGUGAGCCAGCGGGGAACCCGAGCCUGGCUGACAUCACACAUCCUUGGAGACCACCUAACUCUAGUUCUAAAAGGGGCAAAAGUGGUGUCAUGCCGUCUGUGAGGGCCCAAACCUUUCCACCGACAGUCUCGUCAGGGCCUGCCUGGGCCCUGCCAGCCCCCCCUGCGUUUCCUUUUAAUAAAAUUUAAUGUUUUCAUUUUCAAAGACCUAGAAAAUCCAAACACUUUUUAAAAGCCCCAAGGAACUAUAAAAAUUAAUAGCACAGGGAUAAUUUCUUUUUCAGUGGCGACUCAAUUAAACCUGCCAAAGUCAGACAGUGUGAUUUAAACGCACCACUUGCAGAGGGACCCGCGCGGAGCAGGCAAACAUGGAAUGAAACAAUAAUAUUUACCAAUUACUCUUCUGGAUGUUUCCCACCCGGCCCCUUCCCUCCGGGGAGAAUUUUUUCCUUCCCUCCCUCCUCUCGAGGGCCCAGAGGUCAGCAUCCCUAAUUGUUUUCUCCUUGAAUGGUCACAUUGCUAUCAACAAGUGACUGAACUUCUUCCCUGCUCAGAGUAAUGGAAAAAUACCACCCGGGCUGGCUGCCCAGGGCAACAGGCCACGUGGACUCCAUCUCGCAAGUGGGACUGAGUUCAGCGCUGAAAAUGAAAGAACGGCUCCCCGCUCAUCUCCAUCAGGCGCUCCAGCCAGACCAGACAUCUCACAUUCCACACUUAGUCCUGCCCCAGGGCACUUGCUCCGACAGUUCCCUUGCCAGGAAUGCCCUCUCCUGUUCAUGAACACUUUACCCCUGAGAACUUCCAUCUUAUGUUUUCUUUGAGGCCCUGAUCAAGUUCUUUUAAGAAAGUUUUCCUGAGAAAAUCCAUAUCUGUAGAUUUUCCCCUUAAUCUCACUGCCUUCAGUUCCUCUGUAUUGAGUCAACUGCACAUUCUCUCUUAAUUGCAUAUGGGCUGCCUGGGCCCAUCCUAGAGUUUUUAACACACAGGCUCUAACAGGCUUAUCCCUGCUUGCAGACUGUAAGCCCCUCCAAGGCAGGAACUCGUCUGCAUGCACCCUUUGUGUUACGCAUUGUAUUUAGUUUGGUGUUCUUUGUGGGACAGAGGCUUUAUAAUCACAUUUGGACUGGAAUAGUCUCAGGGUUUUCUCUACAACAGGAUAAUGAACUGUGUGCCUCUGGAAAUAGGAUUUCAAUGCAGCUUUGUUUGAAUAGAAAAAAUAAAAAAUGUAAUAAUAAAUAACAAAAAAAUCUAAGCAAAAUAUUCAUUAAUGGAGUAUGGGUAAGAAUAUGGAAUAUGAUGACAUGCUUCAGAGCAGUUAAUGAAAAUGGAGUUGAAUGAUCAAUAUGUAUAGAUUCGCAGAACAGAAAUGUUGAGUGAAACAGGCAAACUGUAAGACAAUAUGUUGGUUAAGAUAUAACUUAUAUAGAUUCAAUGCCCCAUAAGCCAAUAUUACAUAGCAUUUUAUGGAUCCAUGUGAAUAUAUCCAUGUGUGAACAUAGCAAUGAGAAAGAAAUACAUACAAAUCUUGCCAUUGCUUGCCUCUGAAGAGGGAGAGGAGAGAACGGGGAAUGA